rnacentral:lncRNA from 1 species
AAGGAAACACACAAGGACAAAUCAAGAAAAUUCAAUCAAACAAAAGUUCCACUUGUUAAAUCCAAGAUGUCUACCGCAAGCAUACAGCAAGUCGACAUACUAGAAGAACGACAAACCAAGGCUGAAGAAGCACCUAAAUUGCAGGUACAGGAUCAUCUGAGUGACGAUUGUGAAAGCCUGCAGAGCCAACAAGUCCAAGCUUCCGCUGAAAGUGCAAUCCUUAUAGAGACAGAUGAUCAAGACGACCACCAACUCA